rnacentral:lncRNA from 10 species
ACACCGAAUAACUCGUUACAAAAAGAGCUAGGGUCCCAGACUGCGCCAAAGCUUCAGGAGACUGCUCCUCGUCUGUGCACAGAUGAGUGGCCAACUCUGGAGCCCAGGUUGUUGCUUCCUAGUCUGGUGGUGAAUCCUUCAUAGUCUGAGUCUCACUUGGUUGCUCAGACUGGAGUACAGUGGUACGAUCUCGACUCACUGAAACCUCUGCUUCCUGGCUUCAAGCAUUUCUCCUGCCUCAGCCUCCUGAGUAGCUGAGAUUACAGGCGCCCACCACCAAAAAAAAAAUAACCCAGCCUCAGAGGUGCUUAUUUAGCAAAUUCAACCUUAAACCUGAGUGCAUGGAAACUAUUGAUGCAGUGUCCAAGGUGGAGAAAGGUCAGAGUGGAUCCAGAGGAGCCAAGAGAAGACGUCCAGCAUGGUGACCUGGGCUCAAGUCAAGGUCCUUAUUUCUCUGCUGAACCAUCACAUUCCUUAUACAGAGUGGGACAGCAUUGGCUGAGUUCUACUAGCAAAUGCCGGAGAUGUGGUUCCUGUUGGCCUUUUAACUGAUGUGAUGAAAUAAAGUCUUCCAUAAUUUGACAA